rnacentral:lncRNA from 10 species
UGCAGGAGCUUACGCGGUUGACUUCAGUGAGACUCAGUGUGAGUUUAAGAGGAGGAGAACACUCCUUUUAUCACUGCCACCUGAAACUAGAACCAGAAAGGAAGGGAAAAGAACACGGUUAUAUCACCCCCAAGGCUGUGAAUUUACUUCUUAUCGUGGGGGAAGGCCUCUGGUGGCACAUUUUAGUAAGCAAGUAGGUAGAGUCAUACACUGUGGCCGAAGGCUUCAGCUUAGACUCACGAGAGGAGCUUGAUGUGUGUGGACUGUCCCGCUGCUCACUGGGCGUUGGCCUGGCCUCAGUGGCCCUGGGUCAUAGUAUUGUGGACUUAGCAUCACCAUUGUGUGUCCGGAAUUGGUGGGUUCUUGGUCUCACUGACUUCAAGAAUGAAGCCGUCGACCCUCGCGGUGAGUGUUACAGCUCUUAAGGUGGC